GACCCAUGUUGUGGGCAAGCAAGAAGGUAUCCUUGAUAUCGCUCCCAGGCUUCAUAGAUGGUUUCCCCUUGACUAUGUUGAAAAUUAGUGAUUUUUUUCGUAGAUC
rfam:Cajanus cajan CcLG10_712, whole genome shotgun sequence.